UUGAAGUUUGGAUGAAGAAAUUAUAGAGAAUUGAAGUCAAUACAUCCAAAUCAAAAGCAAUAAGUAAGUGAUUUUAUUCAUAAUAAUGGUUGGAGCCAUAUCUUAAGUUUAUGGCCAAAUUUUUAACUCAAAUCUUUUGGAAAAGAUAGGUUAAUUUAUUAAAAAGCUAUAUAUAUAUAAAUUUUGUGGCAUUUAAGUAUUUAAUUUAUGAGAUAUGAAGGAAAUUGCAUGUAAGUGUAUAAAAACUAGGAUUUGAAGCUAUUGUUAGGAUUUUAGCAAAAUCUUAAGAUUUGUGAUAAAUUUAUGGAUGAAAUUUGUUGUGAUAGUUGUUCCAAGUACAUCAGUACUUCAUAUAAAAUUUGAGUGUGUUUGAAUAGUCUGAUUAAGAGAUAUGAAUUGUUGAAGUUUGGGAAUAAUACU
rnacentral:lncRNA from 1 species